rnacentral:rRNA from 1 species
GGCUCAGAUUGAACGCUGGCGGAAUGCUUUACACAUGCAAGUCGAACGGUAGAGGGGGCAACCCUCGAGAGUGGCGAACGGGUGAGUAAUAUAUCGGAACGUGCCCAGUCGUGGGGGAUAACGUAGCGAAAGUUACGCUAAUACCGCAUACGAUCUAUGGAUGAAAGCGGGGGAUCGCAAGACCUCGCGCGAUUGGAGCGGCCGAUAUCAGAUUAGGUAGUUGGUGGGGUAAAGGCUCACCAAGCCAACGAUCUGUAGCUGGUCUGAGAGGACGACCAGCCACACUGGAACUGAGACACGGCCCAGACUCCUACGGGAGGCAGCAGUGGGGAAUAUUGGACAAUGGGCGAAAGCCUGAUCCAGCCAUGCCGCGUGUGUGAAGAAGGCCUUUGGUUGUAAAGCACUUUAAGCGAGGAGGAGGCUACUUAGAUUAAUACUCUAGGAUAGUGGACGUUACUCGCAGAAUAAGCACCGGCUAACUCUGUG